GUUAUGCACAUUCUGGACAAAAUUUUAUUUUAUCCCCAAUUCGAGAAUUUUGGGAGAGAGGAGCCAUGGAGAUGAACUAAAACACAAAUUGACGAAUGGGGGAUUCCUUCAAAGCCUAGGAACACCAUGGGAAUGAAGAUUUGAAGCAAAUAGCCAAGGAAUAGAAGCCUAACGGACGAUCAAUCUUACAUUUUGAUUGAUUAGCGGUUUGCAGCAUUCUCUGCAGCUUCCAUGGAGAGCUAGGUUUUCUUCUUAUUUGGGUUUUUUUAUUUCUUUG
rnacentral:lncRNA from 1 species